UUGUUGGCAAUAAAUUUGAAGCAGAAAUAAAACUAAACUAUUCUACUUCAAUAAAUAAUAGGCAGUAAUAGGCUAAAAUAAAAAUUAAAAGUAAAAGUAGGAAAAAUGGAACCCGAGAUGCUGAGGCGUGGUAUGUUGGUCACUUUUCUUGAAGUAGAUUUCGCCGCCUUACAGUGCACUAGGCUUGGAUGGCGUUCUA
rnacentral:lncRNA from 1 species